rnacentral:rRNA from 1 species
GACGAACGCUGGCGGCGUGCUUAACACAUGCAAGUCGAACGGAAAGGCCCUGCUUUUGUGGGGUGCUCGAGUGGCGAACGGGUGAGUAACACGUGAGUAACCUGCCCUUGACUUUGGGAUAACUUCAGGAAACUGGGGCUAAUACCGGAUAGGAGCUCCUGCUGCAUGUUGGGGGUUGGAAAGUUUCGGCGGUUGGGGAUGGACUCGCGGCUUAUCAGCUUGUUGGUGGGGUAGUGGCUUACCAAGGCUUUGACGGGUAGCCGGCCUGAGAGGGUGCCCGGCCACAUUGGGACUGAGAUACGGCCCAGACUCCUACGGGAGGCAGCAGUGGGGAAUAUUGCACAAUGGGCGGAAGCCUGAUGCAGCAACGCCGCGUGCGGGAUGACGGCCUUCGGGUUGUAAACCGCUUUCGCCUGUGACGAAGCGUGAGUGACGGUAAUGGGUAAAGAAGCACCGGCUAACUACGUG